rnacentral:lncRNA from 1 species
UAACUUUUUUACUCAAAGAAAACCCAAUGACUAGGAUCCACAUAAGAAAAUUCAUUAAUUUCAUAUUACUUCACACAUUUUACAUUUUUCACAUGCCUAAAAUACCCCUAUUACAUAUUUGAUGUAGACAAUUAAUUGUAAGGAGAGAGUAAAUGAUUUUGAAACAAGAAAAAAAAAGACAUUAAUGUUAAAAUUUUAUUGCAUAUUAAUUUUUUAGAAAGGCUUUGAAUUUUCAUAAAACGAUUCGAUUCAGUUUUUUGCACCCUACUCUUGAAUACUUUUGAAUUUAUCCUCUUUUUAUUAAUAUAUUAGAGCAUUGUAUUUCGUUAUCUACAUGCACAUUAAUUUACCUACAACAAUUAUACCAUGGAUGUAAUAUAAUAUCUCUAUUUUACAAUGAUGCAAAAUAAUGUUUAUACCAACAACAAAACGUGCCUAACAUAUGUACUAAUAUAUGAAAAAUAAUUUACCUAUAUUAAGAAGAAAUGUAGUUCGAUGCAUAGUACUAUGCUACACCCAUGUUUAUACAACAAUAAAACGUGCCUAACAUAUCUAACAAUACAUGGAAAAUAAUUUACCUACAAGUUAGAUAAAUGUUAUUUGGUUGGGUGUAGUAUAAAUUUUUUUAAUAAUUGGAAAAAUUAAAUAUAACUAGGUGUAGUGUAAUUUUUUUUUAUAUAAUUAGAAAAAAUUAAUUUACCUACCUACUAUUUGAAAUGUUCAUUUCUAAUGAUGCAAAAUGUUCAUUACCUAACUGCAAAUUAAUUUCCAAUAAUUUACCUACAACAAUUUUACCAUGGGUGUAAUGUAAUAUCUUUCUUUACAAUGAUACAAAAUAUUGUAUGUACCAACAACAAAACAUGCCUAACAUAAGUUAGAGGAAUGUUAGAAAAUAAUUCACCUACAAGUUAGAGGAAUGUUAUUUGAUUCAAAAUAUAUAAUAUAGGUGUAGUUAUUUUUUUUUUAAAUAAUUGGAACAAACUAAAUUACCUACCAAUUAAUAUAGGUAAAAUUGCUACAAAAUAUAUCACGAAAAAAAAAAAAAACUACUUUUCUAGUUUGACAUGGAUACGGUUAAUGCAAACACUUUUUACAUUUUAUUUCACUUUUUCUACUACUUUUAAUUUGGCAUAAAUUUAGGAAUUUGGAAAAGGGACCAUAAAGUAUGAGUGGCAUGAGUGUAAAUAAAUUGUAUUAAUAGGUCAAUAGUGUUCCCAUAUGUUUACAAAUUUUAAAUUUGGGCUUAAAUUGGAUCUUUAAAGAUAGAUGGGUUUUUAUAUAGAAAUAUUGAGUUGUAAGGGCCAAAAUCUAAAGCACCCGCAAGCUUUCAACUUUCACCAAUCUUUUAACCCUGGGCUAACUUUCAAUUCAACAGCCGUUUAACACCAAACUUUCAACUUUCACUGUUAGAUUUGAACAGAUACAUAGGUAUUUAUAGAUAUUUGAGGUGAAUUUUGAGUUAAAUAAUUUUUUUUAAUUAUUUUAGCCGUUGGAUUUAAAUUUGGAUCAUUAGAUCUUUUUUUUUUACCGUUAGAUUUGAUUAUAUUCGAUUUCAGCCGUUGGAUUCAAUGUAUUUUAAAAUAACAUAUUCUAAAAAAUUAAAUUUGAAUCUGAACUGUUGGAUCAACCAACAAUGCUUAAAUCUCAGCCCUUGGUUUAAAAAUAGAGUCGUUGGGGGUUUUUUUGGGUGGUUGACAGCCUAUGACAGAGGGGCCCACCCCUGUCGGGGCAAUGUCUGCAAGCUCAUCGCAUGGGGGCAUUGGAGAGUGACUGGGCCGAGACUGGCCCAACUGCCCGCGACUCCACUCGCAUAGGGGGUGGAAUUUGGGGGGGGGGGUAUUUGGCCCAGUUUUGGCAUUUGGCUUUUAGCCCAAUGUUUUAGCAUGGGUUGGAGGGUGUUUGGGGGGGGGGGAAUAAAUGGGAAUAUUUAGCAUUUAGCCCAUCAUUGGAGAUGGUCUGAGGCAAUGUUUCCUACUCAGUCCAGUCUGAUAUCCUGACUUUGGUGGACUCCUCCAACAACAUCAUGUCCUACAUGGCCUGAAUCUGGCUAGAGUUUACUGCUCUCUUUACAUUUGUAAGUCUAUUUACUUUUCAAGCUAUGUAGAUUGGCUAAUCAACCCAGAAUCACUUUUGUAAAGUUCGUAAUCUCGAUUACAUCAUAAAAUGAUUACAUUCGGUUUCUUGCUUUCAUUUAUGUUUCUAUUUUCGUUUUCAGUUCGAUAUGAGCAAGAAUAAGGUAGAAGGAGUCUUAUAACUUUGUGAAAAUUGUACUAAAAAUAAUGUGGUCAAACAACUCUAUUCAAAUUUCUCUUGAUAGGGAACUGGUGAAGCUAGACAUUUUCUCUCUUCUUUGAGUUUAGAGUCUACCCAAAAUAAACUUGGAUAAAAGAUAUGCAUCCUGCUUUUUACUUUCCCUCAUCACCAUUAUGCAUGUAAUUUCAACCUCUAGUACUUCUUACAUAUUAUCCAGAAUUUGCUAUAUAUAUUCCUACCUUUUAGCAAGCAUACGUACGUACCUAUAACUUGGUCCACAUACAAAAAUAUUGAAACGUAAUUCCAAACACUUUUUCUUUUUCAUGCGAUUGUGAGAUCGACUAAAACAAUUUUGAAACGAAACAUAUAUAUGUUAGGCUUGUUAGCUGAGCCAAGAAUGCCUUUCUCUUUCUGACGAGGUUGAUUAAAUGAGCUCACUUUUAUGGUGAAGAGAACCAGAAAGUUAGGUGGUCCAAUUUUUCUUGACAUUAAUGAGUUGCUUGCUUUCAUCUUGGAAUCAUAGCUUACUUUUGAGUAUUUGACGUGCAUGUUUAUCUAUGUUAAGCAUCAAAACACAAUGCAUGCAUCCUAUGAAUCACAAGAUAAAAACUUAGAUGCUUUAUUUUCUAGACCAACUGCUCUGUGAUUCAGUUCAAGACUUUAGUAAUCAAUUUCUAUAUACUGUAUUAAUGUAAUAUUCAAAUUUAAAUUUUAUUAUCAGUUACUGAUGUACAAUAAAUUUAAGACAUUAGGAAAAGCGCUGAUGAGUUUUUUUUAGUGUCAGUGCAUAAUUGACAACAUAUUAUUGUGAGUUAGUAAGGAUCCUUUUGAAACCUAUUAUUUUUUUAUUUGAUUCUUAUCACAAAUGGUCCCUGAAAUUGAUCAACCUCAUCAAGAUGGUCCCUAAAAUUGAAAAUCAAUCAAUGUAGUCCCUAAAAUUAGGUGUCGCAAAUCAAUGUAGUACUUCCAUUACAAUUUUGUCAAAAAUUCCGUCAUGUGUUGAUGUGGCGCACAAGUGGGUCCCACAAUGUAAUUAAAUAUUGCCAUGUGGAUUAAAAAUAUUUAAAUAAUAAUUAAAAAAUAUUUUAUACAAUUAAAAAAAAAAGAUGAUUGUUCAUCUUCUUCUUCCCCUCCUACCCAGCGACUCA